GGAGUUAGGUGAAGAGGAGAACGAUGUCCAGGCAGGGGCCGGGGAAGCUCGUGCCAAGGCACUGAGGGGAAGUGCUGCAAUGAACCUCAGAGGCUGGAUCUUGCUGACUCAUCUGGGGUACCAAGGACAGACAAAGGACAUGGAGUCCAGGCCCAGGAGGCGAUACCAGGCCAGCAGUUUCACUGAUGCUCCUGUCAUGACGAUGACUGCCUCCCUCCUCCCCUUGGUCCCUGACUCAGUGUCUGCAGUGACCAGGCACCAGGCAGGGAGCAAGGAACCAAGCCUUUCACCUGCUCCCACCAACUCCUAUGGUGCUCCCUUUCCAAGGCUAGGUCUCCUCUCCACCCAGUUCCUUAUCACGUACCAUGAGAAGCUGUCACCUUGGCAACUGUCACCUUCUGGUGAGAUUUACAAUUGCACUGCUACAACUGCUUGUGGCAUGGUAAAGUUGCACCAGGACCUCUGCUGUCCAUGAGAUCAAAGUUCCAGGCCAAGGCACCAGGGGCACGAACAGUGUUGCCCGCAUGGAACUCACACUUAAUGGGAGCGGCAGCCAACAGUGUCAAUUCCACCAAGGCAGGGACCGUGUCUUGUUCAUCCUUGUGCGUCCAGUGCCUAAGCCCAGCCCUGUUUAUGAACUGGAGGCAAACACCUUUGGAAGGAAGGCUACUCCCAGCCCCUCGCCAGGCAUCUGUGUUACUGUGGCUUCUGCUCCACCAACGACUAGCAGUUCGCAGCUUCUAAACGGUGUUCCCUCUGUUGCAGCUGAGCUUCCUGCAAUCCUGUAAAACAGGCUCUAUUGCUAUUAUCACCAUCUUCAUUGAACCAAUGAAGAAAGCAGUCUUGUG
ensembl:lncRNA FLJ40194 uncharacterized FLJ40194